ensembl:lncRNA
AGAUAGAGGAGUUAGAGGAGAGGAAGGAGAUAGAGGUGUCAGAGUAGAGAGGAAUUAGAGGAGUUAGUGGAGAGGAGAUAGAGGAUUUAGAGGAGAGGAGAUAGAGGAGCGGUGUUAGAGGAGAGGAGAUAGAGGAGUUAGAAGAGAGGAGAUAGAUGAGAGGAGACAGAGGAGAGGAGUUAGAGGAGAGGAGGUAGAGGAGAGGAGUUAGAGGAGAGGAGGUAGAGGAGAGGAGUUAGAGGAGAGGUGUUAGAGGAGAGGAGAUAGAGGAGAGGAGUUAGAGGAGAGAGGUGUCAGAGGAGAGAGGAAUUAGAGGAGAUAGAGGAGUUAGAGGAGAGGAGAGGAGAUAGAGGAGUUAGAGGAGAGGAGUUAGAGAAAUUAGAGGAGUUAGUGGAGAGGAGAUAGAUGAGAGGAGAUAGAGGAAUUAGAGGAGUUAGUGGAGAGGAGAUAGAGGAGUUAGUGGAGAGGAGAUAAAGGAGUUAGAGGAGAGAAGAUAGAGGAAUUAGAGGAGUUAGUGGAGAGGAGAUAGGGGAGAGGAGUUAGAGGAGAUAUAGGAGUUAGAGGAGAGGAGUUAGAGAGGAGAUAUAUGAGUUAGAGGAGAUAGAGGGGAGGAGUUAGAGGAGAGGAGUUAGAGGAGUUAGUUGAGUUAGAGGAGAGGAGAUAGAGGAAUUAGAGGAGUUAGUGGAGAGGAGAUAGAGGAGUUCGUGGAGAGGAGAUAAAGGAGUUAGAGGAGAGGAGAUAGAGGUGUGAGAGGAGAGAGGAGUUAGAGGAGAGGAGUUAGAGAUAGAGGAGAGGAGAUAGAGUAGAGGAUAUAGAUGAGAGGAGAUAGAGGUGUCAGAGGAG